rnacentral:tRNA from 1 species
GUCCAGGGGCGGGGAUCGAACCCACAACCUUCUGCUUACCGGGCAGGUGCCAUGUCCACUAGGCUACCCUGGA